GAAACUGCCAGCAGAAUCAGAUAGCUAUUACCAAGUUGACAUCAUUGACAAGGCAGUACAAGAAACGUUCUUACUUCACGGCCCAUCUGAUGCCUAUGAGGCAUGCAUUGCACAAUCCCAAUCAGUCCAGUUAGAUUCUCUUGAAGUUGAAACAUGUGCAAGGUUUUUGGAGACCAACCCACCAUACACCCAAAAGAGGCAUUUCGAGGAACUGGGGACGGGAAAUGCAAAACCACUGUCCUCCAUUCAACAGCCGCUAGUUUUAGAACUCAAGCAACUACCACCACAUCUCAGAUAUGCAUAUUUGGGGAAGUCAAAUACACUUCCAGUAAUCAUUUCAAACACAGUCAGUGAGGUGGAGGAAGAAAAAUUGCUCAGGGUACUCAGAGAGAACAAGACGGCAAUUGGGUAGACAAUAGCUGACAUUAAAGGGAUCAGCCCUUCUCUGUGUAUGCAUAAAAUUCUAAUGGAAGAAAAUUGCAAGCCAAGUAUAGAGGGUCAGAGAAGAUUAAAUCCGAACAUGAAGGAAGUAAUUAGGGCAGAAAUAUUGAAAUUACUGGGUGCAGGAAUUAUCUACCCAAUUUUAGACAGUGCAUGGAUCAGUCCAGUUCAAGUGGUGUCGAAAAAAAAGGGAAUCACAGUGGUGAAAAAUGAGAAGAAUGAAUUAAUUCACACCAGUACAGUGAGGGGAUGGAGAGUUUGGAUCGAUUAUCGCAAACUAAACGUAGCUACAUGAAAUGAUCACUUCCCCCUCCCAUUCAUUGAUCAGAUGUUGGAGAGGUUGGCUGGACAUUCACACUACUGCUUCCUUAAUGGAUACUCGGGCUACAAUCACAUACCUAUCACACUGGAUGAUCAGGAGAAGACCACUUUCACUAGCCCCUAUGGUACUUUUGCAUAUCGUAGGAUGCCUUUUGGUCUUUACAACACUCCAACCACAUUUCAAAGGUGUAUGAUGGCAAUAUUCUCUGAUAUGAUUGAAAGGUUUAUCGAGGUUUUAAUGGACGAAUUCUCAGUGUUUGGAUCUUCAUUCGAUGAAUGUCUAGAACACCUAAAUUUGAUCUUACAUAGAUGUAAGGAGACUAACCUGGUUUUAAAUUGGGAAUAAUGCCACUUUAUGGUGCAGGAAGGCAUUAUACUCGGGCAUCGGAUCUCGAAAAAAGGAAUUGAAGUGGACAAGGGAAAAAUUCAAGUUAUUGAGAAGUUACCACUGCCUACAUCAGUUAAAGGGAUUUGCAGCUUCUUGGGGCAUGCGGGGUUCUACCGGAGAUUUAUAAAAGAUUUCUCGAAGAUCACUAAGCCGCUAUGCAAUCUGCUAAUGAAGGACGUAACAUUUGAGUUUAAUGAGGAAUGUCUCACAGCAGUCAACACUUUAAAGGAGAAGCUCACGACAGCACCAGUAAUUGUGGCACCAGACUAGAUACUGCCUUUUGAAUUGAUGUGUGAUGCCAGUGAUCAUGCCGUGGGUGCAGUAUUAAGACAGCGGAGGAACAAGAUUUUUCAUGUGAUCUACUAUGCAAGCA
rnacentral:lncRNA from 1 species